CAGUACCCGGUAAUACGGAGGGGGCUAGCGUUGUUCGGAAUUACUGGGCGUAAAGCGUGCGCAGGCGGUUUUGUAAGACAGGCGUGAAAUCCCCGGGCUCAACCUGGGAAUGGCGCUUGUGACUGCAAAGCUAGAGUGCGGCAGAGGGGGAUGGAAUUCCGCGUGUAGCGGUGAAAUGCGUAGAUAUGCGGAGGAACACCGAUGGCGAAGGCAGCCCCCUGGGCCAACACUGACGCUCAUGCACGAGAGCGUGGGGAGCAAACAGGAUUAGAUACCCCUGUAGUCCCUGUCUCUUAUACAC
rnacentral:rRNA from 1 species